rnacentral:sRNA from 1 species
UCUUUAUAAUUGUAUAAUCUGAGUUUUUGCCAGACAGUAAAAUUAUGGUCUCCAUUUUUCCAUUUCCAUAAUAGCAUUUGUUAAUAGAUAAUUGCAAAACUGGUAGCAGUUUAACUAAACUAGUCAAAAGGAUCCCUCACUGCACUGCUAUGGAACUGGGGUCUGAAGCACAAAGAUAAACAUUAUUUAAUGUAAAACCAAAGUGACCUGGAAGCAAGAUUAUCUUAAUGCCUCUUUUGCAUCCAUACGCAUACAGCAUAAUGCUUAGAAAAUUUAAGUCUGACAAAAAUCAACAUAAACAUGCCAGUAUGAGUGUCUCAAUUGUAGCUAGGGCGGCCAACACUCUUAAAAGUUCUACAUUGUGUAUCAGUCUCAGAUACAGGAUGUGGUACAUUAAAAAAAAAAUGAUUACACUGUCCUGAAGCUUCUUUAUUGCUAGAUUUACUAUUUAGAAAAUCUAAUAAACACGAGUAUUUCUGUUUUUGUGUAGCACAGGGCUCCUUUGCCAUUUCUGUCAUUGAGCUGGUUCUGCCUACAAUUCACAGCAUCCCUUCAUGGCGGUGGCUUUCUGUGGUGCAGCUUGCAUCUUUGUGAGCUCUGACUAUCCACUGUGUUCUAUUGUUUUGAGUUUUGCUUUCACAUUUUGUUCUGUGCCUGUCUUUCCAUAAGUUUUGCAUUGUUUGUGGAAAGCAGUAAAGAUUGGCUAAUACUGACCAUGUUUUAUUUAACUUUUCACAGAUUCAGCUACUAGUGACUCAACAAAAUCUAAGGGUUCUUGGGGAUCUGGAAAGGAUCAGUAUAGCAGGGAACUGCUUGUGUCCUCCAUCUUUGCAGCGGCUAGUCGCAAGAGGAAGAAGCCAAAAGAAAAAGCACAGCCUAGCAGCUCAGAAGAUGAACUGGACAAUGUAUUUUUUAAGAAAGAAAAUGUGGAACAGUGUCACAAUGAUACUAAAGAGG